UUAGAGUUUGAUCCUGGCUCAGAACGAACGCUGGCGGCGUGGAUAAGACAUGCAAGUCGAACGAGAGAAUUGCUAGCUUGCUAAUAAUUCUCUAGUGGCGCACGGGUGAGUAACACGUGAGUAACCUGCCCCCGAGAGCGGGAUAGCCCUGGGAAACUGGGAUUAAUACCGCAUAGUAUCGAAAGAUUAAAGCAGCAAUGCGCUUGGGGAUGGGCUCGCGGCCUAUUAGUUAGUUGGUGAGGUAACGGCUCACCAAGGCGAUGACGGGUAGCCGGUCUGAGAGGAUGUCCGGCCACACUGGAACUGAGACACGGUCCAGACACCUACGGGUGGCAGCAGUCGAGAAUCAUUCACAAUGGGGGAAACCCUGAUGGUGUGACGCCGCGUGGGGGAAUGAAGGUCUUCGGAUUGUAAACCCCUGUCAUGUGGGAGCAAAUUAAAAAGAUAGUACCACAAGAGGAAGAGACGGCUAACUCUGUGCCAGCAGCCGCGGUAAUACAGAGGUCUCAAGCGUUGUUCGGAAUCACUGGGCGUAAAGCGUGCGUAGGCUGUUUCGUAAGUCGUGUGUGAAAGGCGCGGGCUCAACCCGCGGACGGCACAUGAUACUGCGAGACUAGAGUAAUGGAGGGGGAACCGGAAUUCUCGGUGUAGCAGUGAAAUGCGUAGAUAUCGAGAGGAACACUCGUGGCGAAGGCGGGUUCCUGGACAUUAACUGACGCUGAGGCACGAAGGCCAGGGGAGCGAAAGGGAUUAGAUACCCCUGUAGUCCUGGCAGUAAACGGUGCACGCUUGGUGUGCGGGGAAUCGACCCCCUGCGUGCCGGAGCUAACGCGUUAAGCGUGCCGCCUGGGGAGUACGGUCGCAAGAUUAAAACUCAAAGAAAUUGACGGGGACCCGCACAAGCGGUGGAGUAUGUGGCUUAAUUCGAUGCAACGCGAAGAACCUUACCUGGGCUUGACAUGUAAUGAACAACAUGUGAAAGCAUGCGACUCUUCGGAGGCGUUACACAGGUGCUGCAUGGCCGUCGUCAGCUCGUGUCGUGAGAUGUUUGGUUAAGUCCAGCAACGAGCGCAACCCCUGUUGCCAGUUACCAGCACGUGAAGGUGGGGACUCUGGCGAGACUGCCCAGAUCAACUGGGAGGAAGGUGGGGACGACGUCAGGUCAGUAUGGCCCUUAUGCCCAGGGCUGCACACGUACUACAAUGCCCAGUACAGAGGGGGCCGAAGCCGCGAGGCGGAGGAAAUCCUGAAAACUGGGCCCAGUUCGGACUGUAGGCUGCAACCCGCCUACACGAAGCCGGAAUCGCUAGUAAUGGCGCAUCAGCUACGGCGCCGUGAAUACGUUCCCAGGUCUUGCACUCACCGCCCGUCA
rnacentral:rRNA from 1 species